rnacentral:rRNA from 1 species
GUCUUUUUGUAUUUAAUUUAAAGUCUAACCUGCCCACUGAAUUUUAAAUGGCCGCAGUACACUAACUGUGCAAAGGUAGCAUAAUAAUUAGUCUUUUAAUUGAAGGCUGGAAUGAACGGUUGGACGAAAUAUUAACUGUUUCAUUUGAAUUUAUUUUAGAAUUUUAUUUUUUAGUCAAAAAGCUAAAAUAAAAUUAAAAGACGAGAAGACCCUAUAAAGCUUUAUAUUUAUUUAAAAUAUAAAAAUAAAGAUUUGUUUUGUUAUUUUUUAUGUAAAUAUUUUAUUGGGGUGAUAUUAAAAUUUACAAAACUUUUAAUUUAAAUGUACAUAAAUUUAUGAAUAAUUGAUCCAUUUUUAUGAUUAGAAAUUUAAGUUACUUUAGGGAUAACAGCGUAAUUAUUUUGGAGAGUUCAUAUCGAUAAAAUAGAUUGCGACCUCGAUGUUGGAUUAAGGAAUAGGUUUAGGCGCAGGCCUUUAAAUUAUAAGUCUGUUSGACUUUUAAAUCCUU